ACUUUAUGGCCCAGAUUAUUAUACAAGUACCAAGAAUGUGUACCAAACACAUUUCCUGACAAAAGUUCCGGGUGUAAAGCUGAAGUGGUCUCCGACAUCAAAGUUGUUCUGUUGCUGUUGAAUUUUGCAGCAAUUUUAUGAGAUUGUUGACUAGUUGAAUGGACUUGAAGGCUUUGGAAUUGAAAAUGUUUCAGGCUGAAUACCACACUGGUAUUUCAAAAUGCCACAUCUGAACUCUGGCUUCUUAUCAUCAGCAUUUCUUAUCAUCAGUAUUUCUUAUCACAUUUUUCAGUGGUGAGUAAGAAAAUUGAGCACCUGAUAUGUGACAUAGGUAAGUAAGAACCCAAGUCCGGUGUUGCUCAGUCUUACUUUGCAUUCUGCAUUUGCCUGCAAGUGUUGUUUUUUAGGCCAAAAAGUUAUAUCUAGCUUGAGUCAAAUCUCCCUUAGCUCUGUAAGGAUGCAGAAGUUCAUGAUAUGUUCUUUUGUUUCUUUGCUUCAUAUCUGAAACUUCUGGGUUUAAAUAGUAAUAUUUAUGCAGGGGGGGUAACCUUAGAUAUAACAAUAGCACAAGAUAGCUUAAGAGAGCGGGGAAGCUUAGGCUUCAGUAACAGCCCCAGGGAACUGAUGAAAGGGUUAAUAUAAUGAUCAAGCAUUAGGCAAUCCACUUUUCACUGCUGCCUGCUCCUCUGAACAUGGGGGAUUGCUGUUGAU